rnacentral:rRNA from 1 species
UGGGGAAUAUUGCACAAUGGGCGCAAGCCUGAUGCAGCCAUGCCGCGUGUGUGAAGAAGGCCUUCGGGUUGUAAAGCACUUUCAGCGAGGAGGAAGGCGUUAAGGUUAAUAACCUUGGCGAUUGACGUUACUCGCAGAAGAAGCACCGGCUAACUCCGUGCCAGCAGCCGCGGUAAUACGGAGGGUGCAAGCGUUAAUCGGAAUUACUGGGCGUAAAGCGCACGCAGGCGGUUUGUUAAGUCAGAUGUGAAAUCCCCGAGCUUAACUUGGGAACUGCAUUUGAAACUGGCAAGCUAGAGUCUUGUAGAGGGGGGUAGAAUUCCAGGUGUAGCGGUGAAAUGCGUAGAGAUCUGGAGGAAUACCGGUGGCGAAGGCGGCCCCCCUGGACAAA